rnacentral:misc_RNA from 1 species
GUGAAUCAUCGAAUCUUUGAAUGCAAAUUGCACUCUCCGGUUUUCCGGGAGAGUAUGCCUGUUUGAGGGUCAGCCUAAAAAAAAUCGACAUUGUUGCUGGUUGAGGGCGACUUUCUUCGGAGAUGGGUUAUCUUAAAUCUCGGAUUAAGCGACUUAAAAAUUUUUUUUACGAUUCUAAGAAUGUUUCUAAGAUUUUUCUUAUACGUUUAAGGUAUCGAAUGUCUUAUUAGACGUGACCAACAUAUCGGAUCGCGU